UGCCUGUGUCCCUCUGUA
rnacentral:miRNA from 1 species